AUGGCUAUCGGCGCCGCGCUCUUCUUCUUCUUCCUCGCUGUGGCUCUAACAGCGGCGCCCGGUGGCGGCGGCGGCGAUGCGGCGCUCGUGGAGCACNNNNNNNNNGUGAGCGAGAUAAUGCUAAAUCACCUGUGCAACGACACGCCGGUUAUUGUGGUGAACGGGCAAUUGCCAGGCCCAGCGAUAGAGGCCACGGAAGGAGACUCCGUGGUCGUUCAUGUCAUCAACAAGUCACCUCAUGGAGUAACUAUCCAUUGGCAUGGAGUGAAGCAGCAACUGAAUUGCUGGGCCGACGGGGCAGGGAUGAUAACCCAAUGCCCGAUCCAGCCGAACAAGAACUUCACGUAUCGGUUCAACGUCAUCGGCCAGGAGGGCACGCUGUGGUGGCAUGCUCAUGUUGGCUUCCUCCGUGCGACAGUUCAUGGCGCAUUGAUCAUCCGACCAAGAUCCGGGCCUGGUUCAUACCCGUUUCCCAAACCCGACAAGGAGAUCCCCAUCGUUAUAGGUGAAUGGUGGGACAUGGAAAUUGUUCAGGUGGAAAGGAGAGCCGCGAGUAGAAUCUUCGACGAUUGGCCCCGUUCCCCCACGAUCAAUGGAAAGCUUGGAGACCUCAGUAACUGUUCUGGGUUCAUUGAAGACAACUAUGUUCUUAAUGUUGAGCAUGGAAAGACAUAUCUCUUACGCAUAGUAAACGCAGCACUCCAUGAACAAUACAACUUCAAGAUCGCUGGGCAUGAGUUCACGGUGGUCGCAAUUGAUGCCAACUAUGUGAAGCCAUACACGACAGAUACCAUCGUGAUCGCGUCAGGCGAGACGGUCGAUGCUUUGCUCGUUGCCGACGCACCUCCUGGUCGGUACUACAUGAUCGCCCAAGCUAUGCAAUCACCGGAGCCUUUCCUCCAGAUUCCGGUGUUAAUGUCAAGAGGGGUUGUAUCCUACUAUCCAAGCAAAGGAUCUACUGACGAUACUCCGAUAAUGGCUCCUGAAAUGCCCGAUCAACACGAUGCAACCACGUCUUUCUACUUCCGAGGCAACUUGACCAGUCUGCUACCUCGAUCGGUUCCAGCGAACGUCGACGAGCAACUGUUCAUCGCCAUUGACGUGGGCGACAUCUGCUCACAUGAUGGAUCACAUGACAACUGCAUGGUGACUAGGUUGAACAACAUCUCUUUCCAUCUCCCCACGACGACAUCAUUGCUCCAAGCACACUACAACAACAACAUGAGCACAAGCGCAAUCAGCAUGCUAAAGGAGUUCCCAAGAUGUCCACCGAGCUCAGAGUUUGGCUAUAGCCCGACGUCGGUGGGGACGGCGGUGAGGACGGUGCGGUACAACACCACGGUGGAAAUCGUGUUCCAAAACCCAUACUCGUCGGGUAUGUUCAGCGCAAGUAACCCGAUGCACCUUCAUGGACACGACUUGUUCAUUCUCGGGCAGGGGUUAGGGAAGUUCGACCCGGUGAAGGAUGUGCAGGCAUACAACUUGGUGGAUCCACCCGUGAGGAACACCGCCCUUGCCCCGAUUUACGGGUGGACAGCCAUCCGAUUCGUCGCAAGUAAUCCUGGGGUGUGGUUCUUGCACUGCCAUAUGGAAAAGCACGUAUCGUCGGGCAUGGCAUUGGCACUCGUGGUGGAGAACGGACCGACACCCGAGACGACUCUUCCCCCACCUCCGGCAGAUUAUCGAAGCUGUGAUGGCGGCCAAAACAAUAGAGCACUGGCAGAUGAAUAA
rnacentral:rRNA from 1 species